rnacentral:rRNA from 1 species
GACGUAGGGCGCGAGCGUUGUCCGGAUUUAUUGGGCGUAAAGAGCUCGUAGGCGGCUUGUCGCGUCGACUGUGAAAACCCGCGGCUCAACUGCGGGCCUGCAGCCGAUACGGGCAGGCUAGAGUUCGGUAGGGGAGACUGGAAUUCCUGGUGUAGCGGUGAAAUGCGUAGAUAUCAGGAGGAACACCAGUGGCGAAGGCGGCUCACUGGCCCGAUACUGACGCUGAGGCACGAAAGCAUGGGGAGCAAACAGG